rnacentral:rRNA from 1 species
AACGAACGCUGGCGGCAGGCUUAACACAUGCAAGUCGAGCGCCCCGCAAGGGGAGCGGCAGACGGGUGAGUAACGCGUGGGAAUCUACCCAUCUCUACGGAAUAACGCAUGGAAACGUGUGCUAAUACCGUAUACGUCCUUCGGGAGAAAGAUUUAUCGGAGAUGGAUGAGCCCGCGUUGGAUUGGCUAGUUGGUGGGGUAAAGGCCUACCAAGGCGACGAUCCAUAGCUGGUCUGAGAGGAUGGUCAGCCACACUGGGACUGAGACACGGCCCAGACUCCGACGGGAGGCAGCAGGGGGGAAUAUUGGACAAGGGGCGCAAGCCUGAUCCAGCCAUGCCGCGUGAGUGAUGAAGGCCCUAGGGUUGUAAAGCUCUUUCACCGGUGAAGAUAAUGACGGUAACCGGAGAAGAAGCCCCGGCUAACUUCGUGCCAGCAGCCGCCGUAACAC